rnacentral:rRNA from 1 species
CAGUAGCCGCGGGAAUACGAAGGGUGCAAGCGUUACUCGGAAUUACUGGGCGUAAAGCGUGCGUAGGUGGUGGUUUAAGUCCGUUGUGAAAGCCCUGGGCUCAACCUGGGAAUUGCAGUGGAUACUGGGUCACUAGAGUGUGGUAGAGGAUAGUGGAAUUUCCGGUGUAGCAGUGAAAUGCGUAGAGAUCGGAAGGAACAUCUGUGGCGAAGGCGACUAUCUGGGCCAACACUGACACUGAGGCACGAAAGCGUGGGGAGCAAACAGGAUUAGAUACCCGCGUAGUCCCUGUCUCUUAUCA